rnacentral:lncRNA from 1 species
UUCAUACCACCGGACCUUCCUGGAAUACCACUGGUGUUGAUUUAUCUACUUGGUCUCCUGGGAGUCCAGAGUCUGCCAAGAAGACAAGUGCACCUCCACCUCCUCCUCGAGGGCCACCACCUCCUCCUCCAAGAGGACCACCACCACCUCCUCCACCUGGUUCACUUGCCCCACCCUUAUCUGGUGCUUCAAGUUCUACUGGUGGAGCCCCUCUCAGCAUGUCUGAAGUUCUUAA